CAGUAGCCGCGGGAAAACAGAGGAUGCAAGCGUUAUCCGGAAUGAUUGGGCGUAAAGCGUCUGUAGGUGGCUUUUCAAGUCCGCCGUCAAAUCCCAGGGCUCAACCCUGGACAGGCGGUGGAAACUACCAAGCUGGAGUACGGUAGGGGCAGAGGGAACUUCCAGUGGAGCGGUGAAAUGCGUUGAGAUCGAAAAGAACACCAACAGCGAAAGCACUCUGCUGGGACGACACUGACACUAAGAGACGAAAGCUAGGGGAGCAAAUGGGAUUAGAUACCCCCGUAGUCCCUGUCUCUUAUAC
rnacentral:rRNA from 1 species